rnacentral:lncRNA from 1 species
UUCAAUUAAAAGCAAGGAUUUUAUGCAGUGAAACUUGGAAGAAAUCAAGUUGCACAAAUGCUUUUUUUUUUCCCCAGGAGCUGCCAUAAAUUGCAUUAGGGAUGAAGAAGAAGGAGGAGCACGAGAAAUCCGUAUUCUUGUAUUGGCAGCAAAAUCCAGGUCAGGUUUGCGGUUGGUAUACUGUUGUAUGACUACACUGACCUUAAUGUUGUUUUGCUAGUUCAUAGCAGCUAUGAAUCUGGC